rnacentral:lncRNA from 1 species
UACCCCCUGAAUCCCCAAAGGCCCCCCCAAACCCCAAAGGUUCCCCCUGAACCCCAAAGGUUCCCCCCCAAGUUCCCCCGUGUCCCCAAGGGCACCCUUCCCGUCCCCACCUGUCUCCCUAUGCUUUUUAGGGGGGGGCUCUCCCAUAUUUUUGGGGUCCCUCACCCAAUUUUAGGGUCCCCCCAUAUCCCUAAAGGUCCCCCCAUAUCCUAAAAGACCCCCCCCCAUUUCCCCAAAGGUUUCCCCAUCUCCCCAAACUUUCCCCUUCCCAUCCCCAGCUGUCUCCCUAUGCUUUUUGGGAGGAUCCCCUAUAUUUUUGGGGUCCCCAACCCCAUUUUGGGGUCCCCCCAUACCCCUAAAGGUACCCCUCAUGUCCCUAAACCCUCUCCGAUAACCCCAAGGCCCCCCCAAACCCCAAAGGCUCCCCCAAAGGUCCCCUACAUCCCCAAAAGUUCCCCUUCCCAUCCCCAGCUGUCUGCCUAUGUUUUUUUGGGGGGGGUGUAUUUGGGGCCCCCCCCCGCUCACGUUGCUGUAGAUGUGGUGCAGCGCCUCGCGGGCGCUGGCCACGCUCAGGUCGGUGUUGAGCACCAGCCGCAGCCCCGUGGGGGUCUCGUAGUAGUGCAGCCGGUACUUGCUGGUGUGGAACGACAGGAACCCGUCCCGCCUGCGCGCUAAGGACCCCCCAAAACCAUAAAGGCCCCCCCGAAGCCAUAAAGGUACCCCCUGAAUCCCCAAAGGCCCCCCCAAACCCCAAAGGUUCCCCCUGAACCCCAAAGGUUCCCCCCCAAGUUCCCCCGUGUCCCCAAGGGCACCCUUCCCGUCCCCACCUGUCUCCCUAUGCUUUUUAGGGGGGGGCUCUCCCAUAUUUUUGGGGUCCCUCACCCAAUUUUAGGGUCCCCCCAUAUCCCUAAAGGUCCCCCCAUAUCCUAAAAGACCCCCCCCCAUUUCCCCAAAGGUUUCCCCAUCUCCCCAAACUUUCCCCUUCCCAUCCCCAGCUGUCUCCCUAUGCUUUUUGGGAGGAUCCCCUAUAUUUUUGGGGUCCCCAACCCCAUUUUGGGGUCCCCCCAUACCCCUAAAGGUACCCCUCAUGUCCCUAAACCCUCUCCGAUAACCCCAAGGCCCCCCCAAACCCCAAAGGCUCCCCCAAAGGUCCCCUACAUCCCCAAAAGUUCCCCUUCCCAUCCCCAGCUGUCUGCCUAUGUUUUUUUGGGGGGGAUCCCCCAUAUUUAUGGGGUCCCCCAC